AAUAUACUCCCUCCGUCCGAAAAUACUUGUCGGAGGAAUGGAUGUAUCUAGACAUAAUCUAGUUUUAGAUACAUCCAUUUUCAUCCAUUUCUCCGACAAGUAUUUCCGGACGGAGGGAGUACAAG
rfam:Triticum aestivum genome assembly, contig: Triticum_aestivum_CS42_TGACv1_scaffold_307900_4AS